rnacentral:rRNA from 1 species
UACGAAGGGGGCUAGCGUUGCUCGGAAUCACUGGGCGUAAAGGGUGCGUAGGCGGGUCUUUAAGUCAGGGGUGAAAUCCUGGAGCUCAACUCCAGAACUGCCUUUGAUACUGAAGAUCUUGAGUUCGGGAGAGGUGAGUGGAACUGCGAGUGUAGAGGUGAAAUUCGUAGAUAUUCGCAAGAACACCAGUGGCGAAGGCGGCUCACUGGCCCGAUACUGACGCUGAGGCACGAAAGCGUGGGGAGCAAACAGGGAGUUAGAAA